ensembl:lncRNA
CUGCAGUAAAGGUUUGUUCUAUGAUUUUAAAACUGCUUAAUGUUGUAAAUGAUCAGAUGAAGUCACAUAUGCUGGCUAUAGGUCAGACUUGAACUAUCAGCCUGCCAGUUAUCUCAAAGUCUGUGGGAGGCAGAAACAAAUGACUAAGAAAAAACAAAAAUGAUGACUCAAGAACUGAAAAUGACCUGAAAUAAACCUCAACAGAGACUUUAAGUCAGUAUAAAGAGAUGCAAAAACAACUUAAACUGCAUGCAAAACAACCACAAAGAGCCUAAAAAUGGCUAAAACUGGUACAAAUGGUGCCAGGGACACGGAACAAUUAAAAACUGGUUCAAAAUAUGCACAAACGGACACAAACCGAGAACAAAGACACUCAAAAUGUCUAAAAUUAGACUUGAAUGACAACAAAUAGACUUAAAAAACAGGCUGGUGGUGGAAAAGAUGCAUGAAAACUAAAGGCGCGCGCACUCAAGGACCACGCCCAUGUGUGCAGGGUUCAUGUUUUUCUUCUACAGGAACACCUGUGCAGAUGUGGGCGGAGUCUCAGAGGACAACCCCGGAACCAGCAGCGUGUUUGUUUGUGUCUCUGCAGCUGUGCCUCAUCAGACCUCCACGGCCUGCUCCUCAUUACAAACACCAAACAUGUCCUGACUGUUUAAGCCUCGUGUGUCACCCGCUAUGAGGGGAUCACGCGUAUUUCAGGCUAUCUAACUCCGUGUUGGUGACACGUGUGGGCCCGUGGGUCCGCUCCGGCCUGCAAACAUGUUUACAUCUGAUCGCUCCGCCUGCAGAGAGGACAGGAGCUCCGACAGCCGCUCGGGGAGCACAGAUUAAUUUUAGCCCACCUAAUCGACCCCCACGAAGCCCGCGAGACCGCUCCGUCUGUGUCGGCCGCCGGUUCCGAUUUGCGGCGUUUCCAGGCAGAGAAUCCCGAUCGACGUGUCGGCUGAGUGAAGGCUGCGGAGAUCGUGAUGGAGGAAGAAGGAUCACUCCGCGGAAAUCUCCAAGCCAACGCGGAAGUGGCACAAUCUGCAAUUCCUCAGACGUCCAGCAGAGGCAGCAGCGAGCCGGUCCCAUAGACUUCCACGCCCUUCAGAGUUCCAUAGUAAAGAUGAGGUGGGUCGUUUGCUGUAACAGGUCCUCGGAUGUUUGUGUGUUUCUGUGAGGAAACCUUUGGAAACACUCCACAUGAAGAUGACAGUAUAAAUCCAGUCUGUGCACCGCAUCAGGCAGACGCCUCUCUGGGCGCACCUGCGCAGGUACAAACGGACUUUAACGCUGGGGCGGAGUGAUAUCU